rnacentral:rRNA from 1 species
GAGUUUGAUCCUGGCUCAGGACGAACGCUGGCGGCGCGCCUAACACAUGCAAGUCGAACGAGCGAGAGAGAGCUUGCUUUCUCGAGCGAGUGGCGAACGGGUGAGUAGCGCGUGAGGAACCUGCCUCAAAGAGGGGGACAACAGUUGGAAACGACUGCUAAUACCGCAUAAGCCCACGGGUCGGCAUCGACCAGAGGGAAAAGGAGCAAUCCGCUUUGAGAUGGCCUCGCGUCCGAUUAGCUGGUUGGUGAGGUAAUGGCCCACCAAGGCGACGAUCGGUAGCCGGACUGAGAGGUUGAACGGCCACAUUGGGACUGAGACACGGCCCAGACUCCUACGGGAGGCAGCAGUGGGGAAUAUUGGGCAAUGGGCGAAAGCCUGACCCAGCAACGCCGCGUGAGGGAAGAAGGUUUUCGGAUUGUAAACCUCUGUCCUAAGGGGCGAAGGAAGUGACGGUACCUUAGGAGGAAGCCCCGGCUAACUACGUGCCAGCCGCCGCGGUAAUUC